rnacentral:rRNA from 1 species
AUUGAACGCUGGCGGCAGGCCUAACACAUGCAAGUCGAGCGGAUAACGGGAGCUUGCUCCUUGAUUCAGCGGCGGACGGGUGAGUAAUGCCUAGGAAUCUGCCUGGUAGUGGGGGACAACGUUUCGAAAGGAACGCUAAUACCGCAUACGUCCUACGGGAGAAAGCAGGGGACCUUCGGGCCUUGCGCUAUCAGUUGAGCCUAGAUCAGAUUAGCUAGUUGGUGGGGUAAUGGCUCACCAAGGCGACGAUCCGUAACUGGUCUGAGAGGAUGAUCAGUCACACUGGAACUGAGACAAAGUCCAGACUCCUACCGACGGCAGCAGUGGGGAAUAGUGUACAAUGGGCGAAAGCCUGAGCCAGCAAUGCCGCGUGUGUGAAGAAGGUCUUCGGAUUGUAAAGCAAUUUAAGUUUGGAGGAAGGGCAGUAAGUUAAUACCUUGCUGUUUUGACGUUACCGACAGAAUAAGCACCGGCUAACUCUGUGCCAGCAGCCGCAGUAAAAC